GAUGAACGCUGGCGGCGUGCCUAAUACAUGCAAGUCGAGCGAAUGGAUUAAGAGCUUGCUCUUAUGAAGUUAGCGGCGGACGGGUGAGUAACACGUGGGUAACCUGCCCAUAAGACUGGGAUAACUCCGGGAAACCGGGGCUAAUACCGGAUAACAUUUUGAACCGCAUGGUUCGAAAUUGAAAGGCGGCUUCGGCUGUCACUUAUGGAUGGACCCGCGUCGCAUUAGCUAGUUGGUGAGGUAACGGCUCACCAAGGCAACGAUGCGUAGCCGACGUAGGAGGGUGUUCGGCCACACUGGGACUGAGACACGGCCCGGACUCCUACGGGAGGCAGCAGUAGGGAAUCUUCCGCAAUGGACGAAAGUCUGACGGAGCAACGCCGCGUGAGUGAUGAAGGCUUUCGGGUCGUAAAACUCUGUUGUUAGGGAAGAACAAGUGCUAGUUGAAUAAGCUGGCACCUUGACGGUACCUAACCAGAAAGCCACGGCUAACUACGUGCCAGCAGCCGCAGUAA
rnacentral:rRNA from 1 species